UCAGUGUGUCAUAGGUGAGACAACCGACGAACGAUCCAGGCUCAAAUGGCUCCGCGUAUAACGGCUGUAUCGUUCGUCGGUUGUCUCACCUAUGAUACACUGAUG
rnacentral:pre_miRNA from 14 species